rnacentral:rRNA from 1 species
UUGAACGCUGGCGGCAUGCCUUACACAUGCCCUUCAAACGGCAGCACGGGAGCAAUCCUGGUGGCGAGUGGCGAACGGGUGAGUAAUAUAUCGGAACGUGCCCAGUCGUGGGGGAUAACGCAGCGAAAGCUGUGCUAAUACCGCAUACGAUCUCUGGAUGAAAGCGGGGGACUCGUAAGAGCCUCGCGCGAUUGGAGCGGCCGAUAUCAGAUUAGCUAGUUGGUGGGGUAAAGGCCCACCAAGGCGACGAUCUGUAGCUGGUCUGAGAGGACGACCAGCCACACUGGAACUGAGACACGGUCCAGACUCCUACGGGAGGCAGCAGUGGGGAAUUUUGGACAAUGGGCGCAAGCCUGAUCCAGCAAUGCCGCGUGCAGGAUGAAGGCCUUCGGGUUGUAAACUGCUUUUGUACGGAACGAAAAGGUCUGCCUUAAUACGGUGGGCCCAUGACGGUACCGUAAGAAUAAGCACCGGCUAACUACGUGCCAGCAGCCGCGGUAAUACGUAGGGUGCGAGCGUUAAUCGGAAUUACUGGGCGUAAAGCGUGCGCAGGCGGUUAUAUAAGACAGAUGUGAAAUCCCCGGGCUCAACCUGGGACCUGCAUUUGUGACUGUAUAGCUAGAGUACGGUAGAG